AACAUACUCCCUCCGUCCGAAAAUACUUGUCAUCAAAAUGGAUAAAAAGGGAUGUAUUUAGAACUAAAAUACAUCUAGAUACAUCCCCUUUUAUUCAUUUUGAUGACAACUAUUUCCGGACGGAGGGAGUACAUU
rnacentral:pre_miRNA from 1 species